UACGGGGGGGGCAAGCGUUGUUCGGAAUUACUGGGCGUAAAGGGCUCGUAGGCGGCCAACUAAGUCAGACGUGAAAUCCCUCGGCUCAACUGGGGAACUGCGUCUGAUACUGGAUGGCUUGAGUGUGGGAGAGGGAUGCGGAAUUCCAGGUGUAGCGGUGAAAUGCGUAGAUAUCUGGAGGAACACCGGUGGCGAAGGCGGCAUUCUGGACUGUAACUGACACUGAGGAACGAAAGCCAGGGGAGCAAACGGG
rnacentral:rRNA from 1 species